rnacentral:rRNA from 1 species
GACGAACGCUGGCGGCGUGCCUAAUACAUGCAAGUAGAACGCUGAAGGAGGAGCUUGCUUCUCUGGAUGAGUUGCGAACGGGUGAGUAACGCGUAGGUAACCUGCCUGGUAGCGGGGGAUAACUAUUGGAAACGAUAGCUAAUACCGCAUAAUAGUAGAUGUUGCAUGACAUUUGCCUAAAAGGUGCAAUUGCAUCACUACCAGAUGGACCUGCGUUGUAUUAGCUAGUUGGUGGGGUAACGGCUCACCAAGGCGACGAUACAUAGCCGACCUGAGAGGGUGAUCGGCCACACUGGGACUGAGACACGGCCCAGACUCCUACGGGAGGCAGCAGUAGGGAAUCUUCGGCAAUGGACGGAAGUCUGACCGAGCAACGCCGCGGGAGUGAAGAAGGUUUUCGGAUCGUAAAGCUCGGUUGUAAGAGAAGAACGAGUGUGAGAGUGGAAAGUUCACACUGUGACGGUAGCUUACCAGAAAGGGACGGCUAACUACGUG